rnacentral:rRNA from 1 species
UACGAAGGGGGCGAGCGUUGUUCGGAAUCACUGGGCGUAAAGGGCGCGUAGGCGGCCCUCCUUGUCGCGUGUGAAAGCCCCGGGCUCAACCUGGGAACGGCGCGCGAGACGGGGGGGCUGGAGUUCGGGAGAGGAGCGUGGAAUUCCCAGUGUAGAGGUGAAAUUCGUAGAGAUUAGGAAGAACACCAGUGGCGAAGGCGACUUACUGGACUGUAACUGACGCUGAGGCAUGAAAGCGUGGGGAGCAAACAGG